rnacentral:rRNA from 1 species
AACAUCGCCCCUUGAAAAGUUUUAAUGUAUAAGGGGUACUGCCUGCCCGGUGACAAUUGUGUUAAACGGCCGCGGUAUUUUUGACUGUGCGAAGGUAGCGUAAUCAUUUGCUCUUUAAUUGGGGGCUUGAAUGAAUGGCAAGACAGAAGCUAUGCUGUCUUUUCUUUAAUUUCUUGAAUUUAAUAUUGUUGUGAAGAAGCGACAAUAGGGCCGUAGGACGAGAAGACCCUGUCGAGCUUUACUAAAAGCAGUUUUGUUUUAUUAGACUUUAAAGGCUAAUUGUUUUUUACUGGUAACAGGGAUCUUGUGAGUUUACUUUUGAAGCAGGUUAUUGGGAAAUUGUUUUAUUGUUUGGUUGGGGCAACCGCGGAGAACAAGAAUCCUCCGCUCUUUAUGAGGAAAAAGUUACUUCUUUGUUGUAUUGAUAUGUUAAAUAUUGAUUUAAGUAGGAUCCACUGUUUAAGUGAUUAAAGGAAUAAGUUACCGCAGGGAUAACAGCGUUAUUCUCUUGGAGAGUUCAUAUUGAUAAGGGAGUUUGCGACCUCGAUGUUGGAUCGGGAUGUCCUGGGGAUGUAGCAGUUCCUGAGGGUUGGUCUGUUCGACCAUUAAAAUCCUACGUGAUCU